rnacentral:rRNA from 1 species
UACGGAGGGUGCAAGCGUUAUCCGGAUUUACUGGGUUUAAAGGGUGUGUAGGCGGGCUUUUAAGUCAGUGGUGAAAUCUCCGGGCUUAACUCGGAAAGGUCAACUGAUACUGUGCGACUAGAGUGCGGAAGGGGCAACUGGAAUUCUCGGUGUAGCGGUGAAAUGCGUAGAUAUCGAGAGGAACACCUGCGGCGAAGGCGGCCCACUGGUCCGGUACUGACGCUGAGGUGCGAAAGCGUGGGGAGCAAACAGG